rnacentral:rRNA from 1 species
CCUACGGGGGGCAGCAGUGAGGAAUAUUGGUCAAUGGACGAGAGUCUGAACCAGCCAAGUAGCGUGAAGGAUGACUGCCCUAUGGGUUGUAAACUUCUUUUAUAAAGGAAUAAAACGAGGCACGUGUGCCUUUUUGCAUGUACUUUAUGAAUAAGGAUCGGCUAACUCCGUGCCAGCAGCCGCGGUAAUACGGGGGAUCCGAGCGUUAGCCGGAUUUAUUUGGUUUAAAGGGAGCGUAGAUGGGUUGUUAAGUCAGUUGUGAAAGUUUGCGGCUCAACCGUAAAAUUGCAAUUGAUACUGGCAGUCUUGAGUACAGGUGAGGUAGGCGGAAUUCGUGGUGUAGCGGUGAAAUGCUUAGAUAUCACGAAGAACCCCGAUUGCGAAGGCAGCUUACUAAACUGUGACUGACAUUGAUGCUCGAAAGUGUGGGUAUCAAACAGGAUUAGAUACCCGGGUAGUC